rnacentral:rRNA from 1 species
UAGUGGCAGACGGGUGAGUAACGCGUGGGAAGCUACCUUGUGGUAGGGGACAACAGUUGGAAACGACUGCUAAUACCCUAUGAGCCCUAUGGGGGAAAGAUUUAUCGCCAUGAGAUGUGCCCGCGUUAGAUUAGCUAGUUGGUAAGGUAAUGGCUUACCAAGGCGACGAUCUAUAGCUGGUCUGAGAGGAUGAUCAGCCACACUGGGACUGAGACACGGCCCAGACUCCUACGGGAGGCAGCAGUGGGGAAUAUUGGACAAUGGGGGCAACCCUGAUCCAGCCAUGCCGCGUGUGUGAUGACGGCCUUAGGGUUGUAAAGCACUUUCAGCAGUGAAGAUAAUGACAUUAACUGCAGAAGAAGCCCCGGCUAACUUCGUGCCAGCAGCCGCGGUAAUACGAAGGGGGCUAGCGUUGUUCGGAAUCACUGGGCGUAAAGAGUACGUAGGCGGACUGAUAAGUUAGGGGUGAAAUCCCAAGGCUCAACCUUGGAACUGCCUUUGAUACUGUCAGUCUUGAGAUCGAGAGAGGUGAGUGGAACUCCGAGUGUAGAGGUGAAAUUCGUAGAUAUUCGGAAGAACACCAGUGGCGAAGGCGGCUCACUGGCUCGAUACUGACGCUGAGGUACG